CUUGGAUUUUAUGAAAUAAAACAAGGUUUACGUUUUAGAUGAUUUCAAAAGUUUUGUAAUAGAUCUAUAGGUGAAAUUUUGUAGAUUUAUGGUUAUAGUUGUAUUUAAAAUGUACUGUAAAUUUGAGCUUGAUCUAAGGGUUGAAUUUAGGAAUAUUGAGAUUUAAGUGGGUUAAGGUCUCAAAAACUAGAAUUUUAGGUCCAAUGGGAUUUUUUAAGAUUUCUUGUAAUUUACUAGUUGAAUUGAAGUGAAACUUAUGUGAGAAAAUAUUAGACUUGAUUUUCUAUUUGUAUGAAAAUUUUG
rnacentral:lncRNA from 1 species